UACGUAGGGUGCAAACGUUGUCCGGAAUUAUUGGGCGUAAAGAGCUCGUAGGCGGUUCGUCACGUCGGCUGUGAAAUCCCGAGGCUCAACCUCGGGUCUGCAGUCGAUACGGGCGGACUUGAGUACUGCAGGGGAGACUGGAAUUCCUGGUGUAGCGGUGAAAUGCGCAGAUAUCAGGAGGAACACCGGUGGCGAAGGCGGGUCUCUGGGCAGUAACUGACGCUGAGGAGCGAAAGCGUGGGGAGCGAACAGG
rnacentral:rRNA from 1 species